rnacentral:ncRNA from 1 species
GACGAGGAAGGGUGUGGUAAGCGACAAAACUCUUCGAAGAGUUGAAAAUGAGCAUAGAUCCAAAGACUCCCAAAUAAGUUAACCCUUUUAACUGUUGUUGAAUCCAUGAGCAGGGAAGAGACAACCUAGCGAACUGAAACAUCUUAGUAGCCAGAGGAAUAUAAAGCAAAAGUGAUUCCCGUAGUAGUGGCAAUUGGCAAGCGAAAUGGGAGCAUCCUAAACUGUGAAAAUGGGGUUGUGGGAGAGCACAAUAUAAGUUAUGUGCUGCUAAGCAAAGCAGUUGAGUCCUACACCCUAGAUGGUGAGAGUCCAGUAGCCAAAAGCAUCAUUGGCUUAUGCUCUAACCCAAGUAGCAUGGGGCAGGUGGAAUCUCGUAUGAAUCAGCAAGGACCACCUACAUUGAUGUACAC